rnacentral:rRNA from 1 species
AUGGGUCAGGGAGGACCAACAUGUGCUCGGCUACCUGCUGAGCAACCUCUCCAAGGAAGUCCUCAUCACGGUGACCACGGUCACCACGGCGGCUGCGCUCUGGACGACUCUGGCGACCAUGUACUCGUCGCAGUCGCUAAGCCGCGUCAACAACAUCCGCACCAGCCUCAUCAACGCCCAGAAGGGCACUCAGUCCGUCGCCUCCUACUUCGCCUCAAUGCGCGGCCUCGCGGACGAACUCGCCGCGGCCGGCAAGCCGAUCUAGGACGAUGA